AAUAUUUGUCAACGGGGGCAACCCUGAUCCAGCCAUGCCGCGCGUGUGAAGAAGGUCUUUGGAUUUUAAAGCACUUUUUGUUAGGAGGAAGGGCUUUAGGUUAUUACCCUGAUGUUUAGACGCUACCAACACAAUAAGAACCGGCUAACUCUGUGCCAGCAGCGUCGGUAAUACAGAGGGUGCAAGCGUUAAACGGAAUUACUGGGCGUAAAGCGAGCGGAGGUGGUUCGGUAAGAUGGGUGUGAAAUCCCCGGGCUUAACCUGGGAACUGCUUUCAUAACUGGUGAGCUAGAGUACAGUAGAGGGUAGUAGAAUUACCUGUGUAGCGGUGAAAUGCGUAGAUAUAGGGAGGAACACCAGUGGCGAAGGCGACUACCUGGACUGAUACUGACACUGAGGUGCGAAAGCGUGGGGAGCAAAC
rnacentral:rRNA from 1 species